rnacentral:rRNA from 1 species
UCGUGUCGUGAGAUGUUCGGUUAAGUCCGGCAACGAGCGCAACCCACAUCCCUAGUUGCCAGCAGUUCGGCUGGGCACUCUAUGGAAACUGCCCGUGAUAAGCGGGAGGAAGGUGUGGAUGACGUCAAGUCCUCAUGGCCCUUACGGGUUGGGCUACACACGUGCUACAAUGGCAUCUACAGUGGGUUAAUCCCCAAAAGAUGUCUCAGUUCGGAUUGUCGUCUGCAACUCGACGGCAUGAAGUCGGAAUCGCUAGUAAUCGCGUAACAGCAUGACGCGGUGAAUACGUUCCCGGGCCUU